rnacentral:rRNA from 1 species
GACGAACGCUGGCGGCGUGCCUAAUACAUGCAAGUAGAACGCUGAAGGAGGAGCUUGCUCUUCUGGAUGAGUUGCGAACGGGUGAGUAACGCGUAGGUAACCUGCCUGGUAGCGGGGGAUAACUAUUGGAAACGAUAGCUAAUACCGCAUAACAGUAGAUGUUGCAUGACAUUUACUUAAAAGGUGCAAUUGCAUCACUACCAGAUGGACCUGCGUUGUAUUAGCUAGUUGGUGGGGUAACGGCUCACCAAGGCGACGAUACAUAGCCGACCUGAGAGGGUGAUCGACCACACUGGGACUGAGACACGGCCCAGACUCCUACGGGAGGCAGCAGUAGGGAAUCUUCGGCAAUGGACGGAAGUCUGACCGAGCAACGCCGCGUGAGUGAAGAAGGUUUUCGGAUCGUAAAGCUCUGUUGUAAGAGAAGAACGAGUGUGAGAGUGGAAAGUUCACACUGUGACGGUAUCUUACCAGAAAGGGACGGCUAACUACGUG